rnacentral:rRNA from 1 species
GACGAACGCUGGCGGCGUGCUUAACACAUGCAAGUCGAACGAAGAGCGAUGGAAGCUUGCUUCUAUCAAUCUUAGUGGCGAACGGGUGAGUAACGCGUAAUCAACCUGCCCUUCAGAGGGGGACAACAGUUGGAAACGACUGCUAAUACCGCAUACGAUCUAAUCUCGGCAUCGAGGAUAGAUGAAAGGUGGCCUCUACAUGUAAGCUAUCACUGAAGGAGGGGAUUGCGUCUGAUUAGCUAGUUGGAGGGGUAACGGCCCACCAAGGCGAUGAUCAGUAGCCGGUCUGAGAGGAUGAACGGCCACAUUGGGACCGAGACACGGCCCAGACUCCUACGGGAGGCAGCAGUGGGGAAUCUUCCGCAAUGGACGAAAGUCUGACGGAGCAACGCCGCGGGAGUGAUGACAGCCUUCGGGUUGUAAAGCUCUGUUAAUCGGGACGAAAGGCCUUCUUGCGAAUAGUGAGAAGGAUUGACGGUACCGGAAUAGAAAGCCACGGCUAACUACGUG